UGGUCUUACUCUCUCUCUCGCUGUCCCUCUCUCUCCUUCUUUCCCCUUUCUCCCUUCACAGAAUGAGAUGUCCCCUGUGUCUACAUGGUGCCCAACAAAAGAAAGGAAAUAGCAUCUGCCUGGGCCAUCAUUGUUUCUCAGAGGAACAGACACUUUGCAACAGCAGCAACUCUCACUGGAGCUAAUUAGGUUGAGUUCUAUGCUGGAGGACACAAGAGCCUUAUGCCAGUUGGGAUUUGAACAUAUGACAGUGCUGUAACAAGACCCUCAACUGCAGCGCUCCUGAUUGCACUCCAGGCCCUCCUUACCUCACACAUUCCAGGAGAGGAGCAUCAUCUCUACUGGGAUGGGUUCUGGCAUGCAAGCUACAAGAACAGCCAACAGAGAUGAGUGCAAGCUCACAGACACAUACAAAUGAACAUUCUCUCAUCCUUUCACAGCAUCCUUGGCUGUUAGGCAUUACUAGUCACAGCAUUUCACAGAUAC